GGAGUAGUGUGGUUUAAUUCGAUGCAACGCGAAGAACCUUACCUGGUCUUGACAUCCCGGAGACCCUUAGGAAACUAGGGGUGCUUCCAUCUGGAAGAAUCUGGAGACAGGUGCUGCAUGGCUGUCGUCAGCUCGUGUCGUGAGAUGUUGGGUUAAGUCCCGCAACGAGCGCAACCCUUGCCUUUAGUUGCCAGCAGUUCGGCUGGGCACUCUAAAGGGACUGCCGGUGUUAAACCGGAGGAAGGUGGGGAUGACGUCAAGUCCUCAUGGCCUUUAUGACCAGGGCUACACACGUACUACAAUGGCCGAUACAAAGGGCAGCGACACUGCGAGGUGAAGCCAAUCCCGUAAAAUCGGUCUCAGUCCGGAUUGGAGUCUGCAACUCGACUCCAUGAAGUUGGAAUCGCUAGUAAUCGUGGAUCAGCAUGCCACGGUGAAUACGUUCCCGGGCCUU
rnacentral:rRNA from 1 species